UACGUAGGGAGCGAGCGUUGUCCGGAUUCAUUGGGCGUAAAGAGCUCGUAGGCGGCUUGGCAAGUCGGGUGUGAAAACUCCAGGCUCAACCUGGAGACGCCACCCGAUACUGCCAUGGCUAGAGUCCGGUAGGGGACCACGGAAUUCCUGGUGUAGCGGUGAAAUGCGCAGAUAUCAGGAGGAACACCAAUGGCGAAGGCAGCUCGCUGGGACGUGACUGACGCUGAGACGCGAAAGCGUGGGGAGCAAACAGG
rnacentral:rRNA from 1 species